GUCCGCCCUGGUGAACUCCAACUUGAGGACCUGUGAGCAGUUUGUAUGUGCGGAUAAUAAUCUCGUUGACGACACCUUCCGUCACAGCUGUCCAUCUGCCUCAGUGAUGCCCACAAGGAAAGGCCUGUACGUGACUCCAGGCAGACCAAUCACUAACCACGCUCUGUGAGUGCUGCACUUCAAAAAACUCAGGGCAAGGACGUGCGGACGCCAACAUACUUAAGGAUUUGCUGAGGGCAGCCCACAAGUGUCACCAUUCAACAUAGCGUGCCCACGACGCUGGGCAGAACCACACAGAACACAACGAGCAACAAAACAACACCAGCAAAAAAUAACUCUCUUCUCUCUCCGAGCCUCCCUUCCACCCAGACGCAGGAACAGUUCUCCAACUCCAGGUCAGGCAUCAGGGCUUGCAGGCUUCAGCUAUGGGCUACAACUUCCAGACUUGCAAUCAACCUUCGGGCUUUGAUCUUCGGUAAUGACCCUCAGACUAGUCGAUGAUGGGACCCUGCGAUUUGAUCUUCGAGCGCAGUGACUGGCCGUCAAACCUUCAGCUCACAUGAUCAUGCACUGACCUGGGACAGCCCAACAAGCAUGAAUGCCCUUUGUCCGCAUGUCUAUAUCACUGGCACUUUAACAGCAGAGUGGAAGCCUGGACUUCAGGAGAACUCGCACCACUCACAUCCCCCUUUACAUCGGCGGCACAGCUGUGGAAACUGCAGGCAGUUUCAGACUCCU